GACAGCCUGGGAGUACCGCCGCCAAGUUUAAAAUUCAAAUGAAUUGCCGGGGGCCCGCACAAAGCGGUGGAGCAUGUGGUUUAAUUCGAUGCAACGCGAAGACCUUACCUACUCUUGACAUCCCAGAGAACUUUCCAGAGAUGGAUUGGUGCCUUCGGGAACUCUGAGACAGGUGCUGCAUGGCUGUCGUCAGCUCGUGUUGUGAAAUGUUGGGUUAAGUCCCGCAACGAGCGCAACCCUUAUCCUUUGUUGCCAGCGGUUCGGCCGGGAACUCAAAGGAGACUGCCAGUGAUAAACUGGAGGAAGGUGGGGAUGACGUCAAGUCAUCAUGGCCCUUACGAGUAGGGCUACACACGUGCUACAAUGGCAUAUACAAAGAGAAGCGACCUCGCGAGAGCAAGCGGACCUCAUAAAGUAUGAUCGUAGUCCGGAUUGGAGUCUGCAACUCGACUCCAUGAAGUCGGAAUCGCUAGUAAUCGUACUGCUCACUCUUCCUCAUCACUGCUACGGUGAAUACGUUCCCGGGCCUUGUAGACCCAGUGAUGGUGACAGGCUAGUGAAUCGCGGCCGCCAACGG
rnacentral:rRNA from 1 species